AACGGCCAUACCAUGCUGAAUAUACCGGUUCUCGUUCGAUCACCGAAGUCAAGCAUCAUUGGGCGCGGUCAGUACUUGGGUGGGUGACCACCUGGGAACACCGCGUGCCGUU
rnacentral:rRNA from 2 species